rnacentral:miRNA from 1 species
ACGAUAAGCCAGAAAGAGAGAGAGAGGGAGAGAGAGAGAGGGAAAAGCAAGAACCAGAUGGAUGGGCUCCUACCUAGAGCCACGAACCGCAAACAAGUUCUCGAUCCCUCUUUCUCUCUCUCUCUCUCUCUCUCUCAUUCUAUUCU